CACUCCUGCGGGAGGCAGCAGUGGGGAAUUUUGGACAAUGGGCGAAAGCCUGAUCCAGCAAUGCCGCGUGUGUGAAGAAGGCCUUCGGGUUGUAAAGCACUUUUGUCCGGAAAGAAAUCCUUGGCUCUAAUACAGUCGGGGGAUGACGGUACCGGAAGAAUAAGCACCGGCUAACUACGUGCCAGCAGCCGCGGUAAUACGUAGGGUGCGAGCGUUAAUCGGAAUUACUGGGCGUAAAGCGUGCGCAGGCGGUUUGCUAAGACCGAUGUGAAAUCCCCGGGCUCAACCUGGGAACCGCAUUGGUGACUGGCAGGCUAGAGUAUGGCAGAGGGGGGUAGAAUUCCACGUGUAGCAGUGAAAUGCGUAGAGAUGUGGAGGAAUACCGAUGGCGAAGGCAGCCCCCUGGGCCAAUACUGACGCUCAUGCACGAAAGCGUGGGGAGCAAACAGGAUUAGAUACCCUUGUAGUCC
rnacentral:rRNA from 1 species